AUAUUUACCUGGCAGGGGCGACAACAUGAUCAAGAAGGCGGUUCACCCAAAGUGAGGAUCAGCCGUUGCACUGCCGCUGACUGACCUUUGCGAAUUCCCCAAAUGUGGGAAUCUUGACUGCAUAAUUUAUACUAGUGGGGGGGGGCUGCACUCGCGCUGGCCCCUG